CCCGCACAAGCGGUGAGCAUGUGGUUUAAUUCGAAGCAACGCGAAGAACCUUACCAGGUCUUGACAUCCCCUGACAACCCGAGAGAUCGGGCGUUCCCCGUUCGGGGGGACAGGGUGACAGGUGGUGCAUGGUUGUCGUCAGCUCGUGUCGUGAGAUGUUGGGUUAAGUCCCCGCAACGAGCGCAACCCUCGACCUUAGUUGCCAGCAUUCAGUUGGGCACUCUAAGGUGACUGCCGGCUAAAAGUCGGAGGAAGGUGGGGAUGACGUCAAAUCAUCAUGCCCCUUAUGACCUGGGCUACACACGUGCUACAAUGGGCGGUACAAAGGGUCGCGAACCCGCGAGGGGGAGCCAAUCCCAAAAAGCCGCUCUCAGUUCGGAUUGCAGGCUGCAACUCGCCUGCAUGAAGCCGGAAUCGCUAGUAAUCGCGGAUCAGCAUGCCGCGGUGAAUACGUUCCCGGGCCUU
rnacentral:rRNA from 1 species